AGAGUUUGAUCAUGGCUCAGGACGAACGCUGGCGGCGUGGAUUAGGCAUGCAAGUCGAACGGUAUGGACCUUUCGGGGUUCAGAGAGUGGCGAACGGGUGAGUAACACGUAGGUAAUCUACCCUCAAGACGGGGACAACCCAGGGAAACUUGGGCUAAUACCGGAUGUGUGUAGUGGCUAUUUUUCUGAUUAUCAUUAUUUACGUAAGUGAGUAAUAAUAAGAAGGGAAAGUGGUUAUUACAUAAAAGGUGGCGUAAGCUGCCGCUUGGGGAUGAGCCUGCGUCCUAUUAGUUAGUUGGUGAGGUAACGGCUUACCAAGGCGAUGAUAGGUAGGCGGCCUUAACGGGUGGUCGCCCACACUGGGAUUGAGAUACGGCCCAGACUCCUACGGGAGGCAGCAGUCGAGAAUAGUCUACAAUGGACGGAAGUCUGAUAGUGCGACGCCGCGUGAACGAAGAAUCCCUUCGGGGUGUAAAGUUCUUUUAUACGUGAGCAGUGUCCUUUAUAUUAAUAGUAUAAGGGGAGAGAUAUUAGCGUAUGAAUAAGCAACGGCUAACUCCGUGCCAGCAGCCGCGGUAACACGGGGGUUGCGAGCGUUGUCCGGAAUUACUAGGCGUAAAGUGCAGGUAGGCGGAUAAAUAAGUUUAAGGUUAAAGGCUACGGCUUACCCGUAGUAAGGCGUUAGAUACUGUUUAUCUGGAAUGCGGUUGAGGGAGACAGAAUUCCUGGUGUAGCGGUGGAAUGCGCAGAGAUCAGGAGGAAUACCGAAGGCGAAGGCAGUCUUCUAAGCCGAUAUUGACGCUAAACUGCGAAGGUGUGGGGAUCAAACAGGAUUAGAUACCCUGGUAGUCCACACAGUAAACGAUAAUCACUAGGUGUUGGGUUCUUAAGAGGAUUCAGUGCCGGAGCUAACGCGAUAAGUGAUUCGCCUGGGGAGUACGAUCGCAAGGUUGAAACUCAAAGGAAUUGACGG
rnacentral:rRNA from 1 species